UGGCGGCGUGCUUACACAUGCAAGUCGAACGGUAACAGAAGCAGCUUGCUGCUUGCUGACGAGUGGCGCACGGGUGAGUAAUAUAUAGAUAAUGUGCCUCUUAGUCUGGGAUAGCCAUUGGAAACGAUGAUUAAUACUAGAUACUCCUUCUAACUCCAAUGUUAGUUGGGAAAGUUUUUCGCUAAGAGAUCAGUCUAUAUCCCAUCAGUUAGUUGGUAGGGUAAUGGCCUACCAAGGCAAUGACGGGUAGCGGGUUUGAGAGGAUGAUCCGCCACACUGGUACUGAGACACGGACCAGACUCCUACGGGAGGCAGCAGUGAGGAAUAUUGCACAAUGGGGGAAACCCUGAUGCAGCAACGCCGCGUGGAGGAUGACGCAUUUCGGUGUGUAAACUCCUUUUAUAUGUCAAGAAAAUGACGGUAGCAUAUGAAUAAGCACCGGCUAACUCCGUGCCAGCAGCCGCGGUAAUACGGAGGGUGCAAGCGUUAUUCGGAAUCACUGGGCGUAAAGGACGCGUAGGCGGGUUGCCAAGUCUGAUGUGAAAUCCUACAGCUUAACUGUAGAACUGCAUUGGAAACUGGUAACCUAGAGUAUGGGAGGGGGAGAUGGAAUUAGUGGUGUAGGGGUAAAAUCCGUAGAUAUCACUAGGAAUACCGAAAGCGAAGGCGAUCUCCUGGAACAUUACUGACGCUAAGGCGUGAAAGCGUGGGGAGCAAACGGGAUUAGAUACCCCGGUAGUCCACGCCCUAAACGAUGAACACUAGUCGUCGCUCUGCUUGUCAGGGCGGUGAUGCACUUAACAGAUUAAGUGUCCCGCCUGGGGAGUACGGUCGCAAGAUUAAAACUCAAAGGAAUAGACGGGGACCCGCACAAGUGGUGGAGCAUGUGGUUUAAUUCGAAGAUACCCGAAAAACCUUACCUAACCUUGACAUUGAUAAAAUAAUCA
rnacentral:rRNA from 1 species